CAGUAGCCGCGGUAAUACGAAGGGUGCAAGCGUUACUCGGAAUUACUGGGCGUAAAGCGUGCGUAGGUGGUGGUUCAAGUCCGUUGUGAAAGCCCUGGGCUCAACCUGGAAUUGCAGUGGAUACUGGGUCACUAGAGUGUGGUAGAGGAUAGUGGAAUUUCCGGUGUAGCAGUGAAAUGCGUAGAGAUCGGAAGGAACAUCUGUGGCGAAGGCGACUAUCUGGGCCAACACUGACACUGAGGCACGAAAGCGUGGGGAGCAAACAGGAUUAGAUACCCCUGUAGUCCCUGUCUCUUAUACA
rnacentral:rRNA from 1 species